rnacentral:rRNA from 1 species
UAGUGGCGAACGGGUGAGUAACACGUGGGCAAUCUGCCCUUCACUCUGGGACAAGCCCUGGAAACGGGGUCUAAUACCGGAUAAUACUUCUGCCUGCAUGGGNGGGGGUUGAAAGCUCCGGCGGUGAAGGAUGAGCCCGCGGCCUAUCAGCUUGUUGGUGGGGUGAUGGCCUACCAAGGCGACGACGGGUAGCCGGCCUGAGAGGGCGACCGGCCACACUGGGACUGAGACACGGCCCAGACUCCUACGGGAGGCAGCAGUGGGGAAUAUUGCACAAUGGGCGAAAGCCUGAUGCAGCGACGCCGCGUGAGGGAUGACGGCCUUCGGGUUGUAAACCUCUUUCAGCAGGGAAGAAGCGAAAGUGACGGUACCUGCAGAAGAAGCGCCGGCUAACUACGUGCCAGCAGCCGGGGUAAUACGUAGGGCGCAAGCGUUGUCCGGAAUUAUUGGGCGUAAAGAGCUCGUAGGCGGCUUGUCGCGUCGGAUGUGAAAGCCCGGGCCUUAACCCCGGGUCUGCAUUCGAUACGGGCAGGCUAGAGUGUGGUAGGGGAGAUCGNANUCCU